GCCUCGGUAGUGCAAUCGAUUAUCACAAUAGACUGAACAUCUGUAGAUGUGGGCUGUAGUCCUGCCUGAUGCU
rnacentral:tRNA from 1 species